rnacentral:misc_RNA from 1 species
UCUGUCAGCCAGCAGAGGGCUCCUAGGAGCGGUGGUAUACGCUGCAAUGCUGCUGAGGAGGCUCAGAGUGCGGUUUUUGCCGCCACGGUGAAGACACCGGCCGUGAAGGCCCUGGUCACGGUCAAAGAGACGAUUGGCGGACUGUUUGCCCACACGGGUCUCACUCGAGGGGCAGACGACAUUAUGGACUUGCUCGGAAAAACUAUCCUUCUUGAGCUCGUGAGCCUGGAGUUGGACCCCAAAACUGGAUUAGAAAAGGAGACAAUACAGGCUUUUGCACAUCGAGCUGGGGGAGGUGGCGGCAAUGUCCACUACGAGGCGAGUUUCACCGUUCCGAUGGAUUUUGGUGAGAUUGGAGCGGUUUUGGUGACCAAUGAACAUCAUAAGGAGAUGUUCUUUGAGGAUAUUGCCCUCACAACUGGUGACGCUACUACGACAAAGACUAUAAGUUGCAAAUCUUGGGUGCACUCCAAGUUUGAUAGUCCUAUCACGAGGAUCUUCUUCGCAAGCAAGUGUUACUUGCCGUCCCAAACACCAAGUGGGCUACUGAGUUGGAGACAGAAAGAGCUUGAGAACUUGCGGGGCGAUGGCACCGGGAUGCGGAAGGCCUUCGAAAGGAUAUAUGACUAUGAUACGUACAAUGACCUUGGCGAUCCAGACAAAGGUGUAGUGAGACCAAUUCUUGGCGGUAACAAGGUGUUACCAUAUCCGAGGCGAUGUCGCACAGGACGUCCAAAAACUAAGAAAGACCCACUUUCUGAGCAGAGGGCUUCCACCGUCUAUGUUCCCCGGGACGAAGCAUUUUCAGAGGUGAAACAGGUGACGUUUUCCACCAAGACCCUACGGUCGGUGGUCCAUGCAUUGAUCCCAUCUAUCGAGUCAGCGAUCAUCGAUCCCAACCUCAGCUUCCCCUACUUCACUGCCAUCGACUCGUUGUUCAAUGAGGGGGUAACCCUACCAAUAGGGGAAAACGCAGGUGUUUUCCGCAGCGUCAUUCCGAGGCUCGUCAAG